UCCCACCAUCUUCUCCUUGUCACCUGGUGUACCAAGUGUCAUGGCUGCCCCCACGUAACGCCAUGUGUUCAAAACAUCAUGUUGACCUGUAUUUGCAUAUUAAAGGCUAGGGUGGGAGGGCAAGGUUUUUUCGGCUACGUGAACGACACAUCCGGUCAAACCAAUCCCCUGAGCCCUAUGCAAACCAGACACUGCCUUCUCCAGCUUCCGGAUAUAAUGGACUGCCUUUCCGCUGCACACAGGGUUCCUCUUUGUUCUGAGCCCCUGUCCCUCUGUCUCUGUUUUCUUCUGUCUUUCUUCUUUCUUGCCUGUUAAACUUUUUACUUCUUAACGACCACUCCACAUGUGUCUGUGUCAUUACUCCUAAUGGCACAAAACUAAGGACUCUGGUGUUCCUGCAGUCAUGGAAGCUGCAUCACUAUUAGAAGUUGAUAUGGGAAAUGAAGUACCUCUGACUCCUUGAAAUAAAUUACAACCCUAGAGACUUUAGAAGACUGUCUAGGUUCCAGUUUUGUUAACCAGAAAAUAAGAAUGGCUUUGCCCACUAAUCAACAUCUCUUGACAAGUAA
rnacentral:lncRNA from 10 species